GUGUGGGUCUGUAUGUGAGUGGAUAGGUCAGUAUGGGUCUGUAUGUGAGUGGAUAGGUCAGUGUGGGUCUGUAUGUGAGUGGAUAGGUCAGUGUGGGUCUGUAUGUGAGUGGAUAGGUCAGUGUGGGUCUGUAUGUGAGUGGAUAGGUCAGUGUGGGUCUGUAUGUGAGUGGACAGUUAAGCAGCUUUGCUGCACGUUCUGAGAACCUUAGUCAUUUGGGAGCUGGCUUUAUUGAGGGAGUAUCUUCUGAUACUCUGCCAGCUUGUAAAGCUUUUUUUUUAUUUUCCAAAAUCAAUAAUUUUUUAAUCAAAUAUACAAUUCCAUUUUUUCUUGCAUAUUUACAUAACAGAACUGAUAUACCUGCUUUAUAUGCCAUUGCAGGCAAUCUCCUGAGAUGUUAUUUAAUCUGUGACGAAGAGCCUGAUACUGGCACGGAAUGAAGAAAUUCCGGAAAACUGGAAAUCCCUCUGUUUUCUUCCAAUCGCGUUCCUGGGGUAUGUAGGUAAAAUUAAGGAAGAGAGACCCCACAUUGAAGAAGAAAAGGAUGAAGCAGUCAUGAUAAGUCUCUAAAAUAUUACAUUUCUCCUCCCCCAAACUUUUUUUUAUAGAAUAAAGCAUAAUCAGGGGCAGGAGGACAUUCUCAGGGCUAAUUAUAUCGGUACAGGUAUGGGAUCUCUUAUCCAGAAACCCCAUAUCCCAAUAGCUCUUAAUUACAGGAAGGUCAUCUCAAAUAGAGUCCAUUUCAAGCAAAUAAUUAUUAUUUUUCACAAUCAGAAGAUGAACCCUAAUCUCUCUCUCUCUCUGUUAAUCUGCAGACUGCCCACGAAGAAAAAGAAGAGGAUGAGCCAGAAGAGGAGCUAAAUGAUCAAGUCGACUGUAAGAACAAGCUCCUCGCAGAAGUCUGGCCUUAUUUUAAUUGUUAUCUGAAAAACCUCCUUAUUGAUUGGCCUCGAAUCUGAGCGAUGUCCAUUUUCUUGUGGCUAUUCCGCUUCCUGGAAUUCGAUUUGGGAGAAAAGCCCCCACGGAUAACCGCAGUGAGGUUCCACAGACGGACGGAAAACAAACAAAUUGUCCUGGAUUUGGACAUUAGCUUUGAUGGACCUAUUGAGGUUGAAGUGGCUCUUUUCAAGCGCUUCCUGAGGCUUGGAGUCAAUCAUCUUGAGUUACGUGGAACAGUGCGGGUGAUACUGGGGCCGCUGUUUGUUGACGGAGACAUCUCUUAACACUGCCAGCUUGUGAAGCUUUUUUUUAAUUUUUAAAAAUGACUAUAAAUAAUUUUUAAAUUAAAUAUACUAUUGCAUUUGUUCUUGCAUAUUUACAUGGCAGAAGUAAUAUGCCUGCCUUAUAUGCUGUUGCGUGCAUUAUUGUCAAAUGCUAUUUAACUGUGUAUGUUCCCUUUUAUCUUCUAUAUAUCAGUAAUGAGCCUCUCCUUUCUUUUAGUUACGUGGAACAGUGCGGGUGAUACUGGGGCCGCUGUUGGAUGAGAUACCACUGUUUGGAGCGGUGACCUGGUAUCUGUGCGACCGACCAGCUACGAAAUUAAAAUGGACUGGAACCGUGACUUGAAUUACACGAGUAAAGAAAUUACUGGAUAAAGCUGCAAACAAAUUUGUAGACUAUUUCUUUGUCGAGCCAGUUCACACAUCAACUAAAAUGUGGAAAGAAGCUGAUGUGGAUGUUUUGCACUUGACUGAGUGACUGAGUUUAUAAUCAUUAGUCGGAAAAGUACCAUCACCCACUGCCUUAACAUUACCAUUGGCUGAAGCCCACAAAGAGUAGGGGCGGGACUUUAAUCAAUGUGACUGGGCAUUAAGCAAUUAGAACUAAUAAAUACAAUGGUUUUUGUCUCUGCAGAAUGUGAUUCGUGUCCGUGUACUGGAGGCAGAAGAUUUAGCCUCACGCGGCUUUAUAGCGAAGAGGUUCCGACCCUACGUGGUUGUGAGUGGGGCAGGCAAGAAAGGAAAGACCAAAUUAGCCAAGAGAAGCCUGAACCCAUCAUGGAACCAAGCAUAUGAGGGGCAUUUAUUGCAUUGGCAUUGGCUGUACCCCCCCCUGCACCCUACAUCUACAUCAGUGAUCCCGAACCAGUGACUCUGGGACAACAUGUUGCUCCCCAACCCCUUGGAUGUUGCUCUCAGUGCCCCCAAACCAGCUGAACAAUAGCGAGGAGAAACCAACAGCCAGAGUAGAGCUGAAGAUCCAGGACGCCAAGCGGAAGACUAAGUUUCGCAAAGAUGCCAAGUCCCCGGAGUGGAAGCAGAAAUUCAGCUUCCCAUUAAAGGACCCAAGGAAUGAGGUGUUAAAAGGUUCUGGUUGGAGAAAAAGCAGAAAAUGAGGGGCUUAGGAAAAGACAAAGAUACACAAGAGAGCACCUGUUACCUGCUUCUGCUCUUUCAGAGUGUCCAAAAUGUUAUUCUCCAGCCUCCUAGCCGCUAGCAGCCACUGAGCCUCUAAUCUGUGCAGCCUCUUCUUCAUGAAGAUCAGAGACUCCUUGCCAGUUCCCAUUGAGUCCAGCAGGGAGGAGAGCUCCGUACGGAAGGCAGCCUGGGGGAACAAAAAAAGAGGUUGGUGCUUAUCGUGGAGGUCUCUCUGGCCUUCCACCACUAAAGAUACAAAGAAAAUACACCUGUAAGAUUUAAGGCUGUUAAGGCCCAUAUUACCCCCUCCUACCACUCAUAACACUGGUAGAAUUGGCAUGAAACUGGCAGCACUGACACCUGUUUUUGGCAUCCAUCCGUGACUCCCUAUGACAGAACACCGGAACCGGGCACCUUGGCCAUACUGACCCUUUGAUCGGAGAAGGCUGUUCCGCAGAAUCUGAUCUACUUUCACUGCAAUGUCCGACACGUUUUGAGCGAUGGCCUGGAUCUUCUCCAUCAGCCCAACUGACUGCAAGCUGGAAAAAAAAAAAUAUAGCAGUUAUUUACAUUCUAAGGCUAAGCACACACUGUAAGCUGUUUGCUGAUUGCUAUGAAGAAUAAACACUGAUAUUUAAAAUAAA